GUGAGUAAUGCUUAGGAAUCUACCGAGUAGUGGGGGAUAGCCAUUGGAAACGAUGAUUAAUACCGCAUAUAUCCUACGGGGGAAAGCAGGGGACCUUCGGGCCUUGCGCUAUUCGAUGAGCCUGAGUGAGAUUAGCUAGUUGGUGGGGUAAAGGCCUACCAAGGCGACGAUCUCUAGCUGGUCUGAGAGGAUGAUCAGCCACACUGGGACUGAGACACGGCCCAGACUCCUACGGGAGGCAGCAGUGGGGAAUAUUGCACAAUGGACGAAAGUCUGAUGCAGCCAUGCCGCGUGUGUGAAGAAGGCCCUCGGGUUGUAAAGCACUUUCAGCGAGGAGGAAAGGUCAGUAAGUAAUAUUUGCUGGCUGUGACGUUACUCGCAGAAGAAGCACCGGCUAAUUUAGUGCCAGCAGCCGCGGUAAUACUAAAGGUGCAAGCGUUAAUCGGAAUUACUGGGCGUAAAGCGCGCGUAGGUGGUUUGUUAAGUUGGAUGUGAAAGCCCAGGGCUCAACCUUGGAACUGCAUUCAAAACUGACUCACUAGAGUACGAGAGAGGUUAGUGGAAUUUCCUGUGUAGCGGUGAAAUGCGUAGAGAUGGGAAGG
rnacentral:rRNA from 1 species